rnacentral:rRNA from 1 species
AUACGGAGGGUGCGAGCGUUAAUCGGAAUUACUGGGCGUAAAGCGCGCGUAGGCGGCUAGGUCAGUCGGAUGUGAAAGCCCUGGGCUUAACCUGGGAAUUGCAUUCGAUACCGUCUGGCUAGAGUAUGGGAGAGGGAAGCGGAAUUUCCGGUGUAGCGGUGAAAUGCGUAGAUAUCGGAAGGAACACCAGUGGCGAAGGCGGCUUCCUGGCCCACUACUGACGCUCAGGUGCGAAAGCGUGGGUAGCGAACAGGAUUAGAUACCCCUGUAGUCC